GCCCGGGUGGCGGAACAGGCAGACGCGCCGGUCUCAAAAACCGGUGAUGGAAACAUCGUGCGGGUUCGAUCCCCGCCCCGGGCACCA
rnacentral:tRNA from 3 species